rnacentral:tRNA from 1 species
UGUAGCUCAGUGGUAAGAGCACUUGCCCUAGCAAGUGCUGGGUUCUAUUCCCAGCA